UACGGGGGGAGCAAGCGUUGUCCGGAUUUACUGGGCGUAAAGGGCGCGUAGGCGGUCGUGACAAGUCACUUGUGAAAUCUCCGGGCUUAACUCGGAACGGUCAAGUGAUACUGUCGGACUAGAGUACAGAAGGGGCAACUGGAAUUCUCGGUGUAGCGGUGAAAUGCGUAGAUAUCGAGAUGGAACACCUGCGGCGAAGGCGGGUUGCUGGGCUGAUACUGACGCUGAGGCGCGAAAGCCAGGGGAGCGAACGGG
rnacentral:rRNA from 1 species